AGUCAGCCAAAGAACGAACACACACGAAGUCAUCGGAGCCCCGUAGAUAAAACCAGUUAGUGUGUGGCGUCGUACAUUCCUAAGCUACAUAUAUAUGUGUGUAUGCUAGCUUGCGCGAAUACAUUGAAACGAUGAAACUAUAAGAUUGAAUAUUCAAAUCCAUUUUUGAAUUCAAAUGCUCCAGAAUACUCGGUGCAGCUUUACAUAUUUAGUAACGAAAAAUAUUCAAAAGCGUUGCUUCUUUAGAGGCACUAGAAGAACGACAUCGAGUCAAUGUUGGUGCCGGCGGUCGGCAGUCAUGACAACAUGACGUCAACCGGCCGUGUGUUAUUUUCGAAAGGGGACUCGAUCGGUGCGGCGCCUGCCGGCGAGAUCGCCAACUACGAAAAACAGCUCGACAACGACGUCGCGCACCACGCUAUCGGGCCAAGAAAUAACAACGCGCACAAUAUAGCCUGCCGUGUUAUGAUUAUCGAGCGUAAUUCCGUCGGGAAUAUUUAAAUAAAUGAGAAACCAACAAGUAUUCCCUUAUAUAAAAAAUUUUCGUUCUUUGUACAAAAUUAAUCUUAAAUAUUUAAUAUUUCUUUAACAGAUAAUAUGUUUAUUCGAUAUCUAAUUUUUAUCCGUUCAUUUAUCAAUGACGUGCUAUAUUAUUUAUAGGUAUGAUGUUCUGGAUAAUUUUCCACUACUACAGCCAAAUAAAUUAAAAUAAUUCAAAUUAAAUUAAAAAUUAUACAAUAUUAUUUCAAUAUUAUAUUACUCAUUUAGGAAAUUAUUUUUAUUUUAAACAUUGAAAAUUACUAAAUAACAAUAGUAAUAAAAAGAAAAAAAAAUAAUCAAUAUCUUUUCUUUGAAAUUAAUCAAUUCUAUAUAAAUAAUGAAUAAUUUCAAAUAUCCAAUCUAAUUAGAUCUAAUUAGAUCGCAUCGAGAAAUUUUUUUAAAUCGUCAAUUUAUCUUAUAGCAUAAAUUAUGCAAUCGAUGAAUUUCGUUUCGCGAUGUGACGCAAGAUCGUUACCAAGCGGUGACAUUUCUUUGAAUUCGACUUCGAGUUUCGCGCGUACGAUCCUGGAAGCUGUUUGAAUGCUAGCUUUAACAGUGUAAAGUCCGUGACAGAUUAGUGGUACGCUAUCUCGUCGAAUGGAUAAGAUUGUCGGGGAGCAAGCCAGUUAGACUUAGAUUUCAAGGACUUGCAAAUCGCGCUCAUCAUAGUGAACUUCGAAAAACUUAAUGUCAAUAGAUCUUUACUAUUUUUUAAAUUAAAAAGUUUUUAUUUUCAAUAAAUUAUUUAUUUUAGAUAAAAUUAUAUUAUAUUGUUAAUAUAAAAGAUGGAAAAUCAUGACAAAAUGGAAAUUUUUUGUUCUUUUUUUUCAAAUUUUUUAGUAUACAAUAAAUAUUUAAGAAAUCUUUACACAACUGUAAAAAUAAUUUAAAAUUCUAAUACUUUAUAUAUUCAAAGUUAACUUUUAUGUAUUGUAUAUGCUACAUAUAUGUGAAUAUAUGUAUAUGUGUAUACAUGCUAA